GACGAACGCUGGCGGCGUGCUUAACACAUGCAAGUCGAACGGAAAGGCCCUGCUUUUGUGGGGUGCUCGAGUGGCGAACGGGUGAGUAACACGUGAGUAACCUGCCCUUGACUUUGGGAUAACUUCAGGAAACUGGGGCUAAUACCGGAUAGGAGCUCCUGCUGCAUGGUGGGGGUUGGAAAGUUUCGGCGGUUGGGGAUGGACUCGCGGCUUAUCAGCUUGUUGGUGGGGUAGUGGCUUACCAAGGCCUUGACGGGUAGCCGGCCUGAGAGGGUGACCGGCCACAUUGGGACUGAGAUACGGCCCAGACUCCUACGGGAGGCAGCAGUGGGGAAUAUUGCACAAUGGGCGGAAGCCUGAUGCAGCAACGCCGCGUGCGGGAUGACGGCCUUCGGGUUGUAAACCGCUUUCGCCUGUGACGAAGCGUGAGUGACGGUAAUGGGUAAAGAAGCACCGGAUAACUACGUG
rnacentral:rRNA from 1 species